rnacentral:tRNA from 1 species
GGAGGAUAAGCUCAGCUGGGAGAGCAUCUGCCUUACAAGCAGAGGGUCGGCGGUUCGAGCCCGUCAUCCUCCACCA